rnacentral:rRNA from 1 species
GGGAAAAGUCGGAAACGACCGUAUACCGAAACCACCGUCACCUCGCACGGGGAGACGAUGAAAGGUCCGCCGGUCCGGGAGGGUCUCACGGCCUAUCAGCUCGUUGGAGAGGUAACGGCUCACCAAGGCAUCGACGGGUAGCUGGUCUGAGAGGAUGAUCAGCCACACUGGAACUGAGACACGGUCCAGACUCCUACGGGAGGCAGCAGUGGGGAAUCUUGCACAAUGGGCGAAAGCCUGAUGCAGCAACGCCGCGUGCGGGAAGAAGGCCCUAGGGUUGUAAACCGCUUUCAGGAGGGAAGAAAAUGACGGUACCUCCAGAAGAAGGUGCGGCCAACUACGUGCCAGCAGCCGCGGUAACACGUAGGCACCAAGCGUUAUCCGGAUUUAUUGGGCGUAAAGAGCUCGUAGGCGGUUCAGUCAGUCGGGUGUGAAAACUUGAGGCUUAACCUCAAGAGGUCACUCGAUACUACUGUGACUAGAGUGCGGUAGGGGAGCGGGGAAUUCCUGGUGUAGCGGUGAAAUGCGCAGAUAUCAGGAGGAACACCAGUGGCGAAGGCGCCGCUCUGGGCCGUAACUGACGCUGAGGAGCGAAAGCAUGGGUAGCAAACAGGAUUAGAUACCCUGGUAGUCCAU